CUUGUGAUGUAUUUUCGAUAAUCUUGUGAUGUAUAUUCGAAAUCUUGUGAUGUAUGUUCGAUAAUCUUGUGAUGUAUAUUCGAAAUCUUGUGAUGUGUGUUCUACAAUUCAGUGAUGCGUGCAAUAAAAUUGCAUGACGCAACAGAAAAGUAAGGACAAUUUUCAUUGGUUAGAAAUAACGAAAGUAGCCGGAGCGGUCGUAAUGCACACAUUGACACAACUUCGCAAGCAUGAAAUUGGCGAAUUCAACCUAAAGUCAAAAUUAUAGGAACUUUACGUAGGUCUACAGUUUUAAUUUUGGACUCAUGCACUAGGAAUAUCAUAUCAGCAGAAUUGUGCCACUGAAUCAAAGGGAACUCUUUUUUUUUUAGGUACGCAUGAUCGAUGUAACUUCCUCGAUGGUGUGUUGGCUGUUUGCCCAUGUGUAUUUCAGGGUAUAGGAGUAGCCUCCCCUUUUAAAGAUCCAAAAUGGUGAUUUUACAGUGCGGCAUGCAGUCUGGUCAUCAACGAGGAGUUUUGACACCUGUAAUACCCAUAUUUCUACCAUUCACCUCUGUAACU